rnacentral:rRNA from 1 species
CCAGACUCCUACGGGAGGCAGCAGUGGGGAAUAUUGCACAAUGGGGGAAACCCUGAUGCAGCGACGCCGCGUGAAGGAAGAAGUAUUUCGGUAUGUAAACUUCUAUCAGCAGGGAAGAAAGUGACGGUACCUGACUAAGAAGCCCCGGCUAACUACGUGCCAGCAGCCGCGGUAAUACGUAGGGGGCAAGCGUUAUCCGGAUUUACUGGGUGUAAAGGGAGCGUAGGCGGCGAUGCAAGUCAGAAGUGAAAGCCCGGGACUCAACUCCGGGACUGCUUUUGAAACUGUAUGGCUAGAUUGCAGGAGAGGCAAGUGGAAUUCCUAGUGUAGCGGUGAAAUGCGUAGAUAUUAGGAGGAACACCAGUGGCGAAGGCGGCUUGCUGGACUGUAAAUGACGCUGAGGCUCGAAAGCGUGGGUAGCAAACAGGAUUAGAUACCCUGGUAU